rnacentral:tmRNA from 1 species
GGGGCUGACCGGUUUUGACAGCGUGUAGAGGUGGUGAGUAAGCAUGCAGAGCAAUGAUGGCUACGCUCUAUAAUCAGGGACAUCAAAAUUUCAAAUGGCGAAAACAACUACGCUCUCGCUGCCUAAUCGAAGUAUAGUAGAUUAGCUUUAUUUCGGCAACAGUUGCCGAAACGAGACAUCACCCGAUUGUCCUUUUUCCGAGACGUAUCGAACAGGUGGUGCAGGUAAAUCGGAAAUAUGGCAGGGAAAGCCUUGAUACCUGCCGAGACUAUUUAGAGGAUAAGGCUGAGAUUGGUGGUUUCUUGCCUGUCUCAACUCGAAAACCAAGUAGAAACUAAGCAUGUAGAAAGCUCAUUAGUUCCACGUUUGGACGAGGGUUCAAAUCCCUCCAGCUCCACUC